GAUGAACGCUGGCGGCGUGCCUAAUACAUGCAAGUCGAGCGAUGCGGGGACAGGGGCGUAACACGUGGAUAACCUCCUAUAACUCUGGGAUAACUUCGGGAAACCGGUGCAAAACCGGCUACUUAUAGAUGGAUCCGCGCUGCAUUCGCUGGUUGGUAAGGUAACGGCUUACCAAGGCAACGAUGCAUAGCCGACCUGAGAGGGUGAUCGGCCACACGUGGACUGAGACACGGUCCAGACUCCUACGGGAGGCAGCAGUAGGGAAUCUUCCGCAAUGGGCGAAAGCCUGACGGAGCAACGCCGCGUGAGUGAUGAAGGUCUUCGGAUCGUAAAACUCUGUUAUUAGGGAAGCGGUACCUAAUCAGAAAGCCACGGCUAACUACGUGCCAGCAGCCGCGGUAAUAC
rnacentral:rRNA from 1 species